AAGGAGGUGGCCAAGCAGACAAAUGGUUACGACUGUGGAGUCCAUAUGUGCCAAAAUGCUGCGGAUGUUGCGUAUGACUUGCCGUUUUCAUGUUCUCCGAACAAGGUUCAUGCCAUCCGGAAGACGAUGACAUUUGAGAUACUUACUGGAGCGUUGAUACCCAGAGAAUAAUGCAAACAGUUUUGUAGAUCACGCACUAUUUUGGCCGUAGAUCAAGUGAUGACAUAUAUUUGUUCAAACUGAUUGAGAAAUUGUGAUGCAUGCUAAAAAAGCAUCAAUAUUAUUUGUGGAUCAAUGCAGAGACCUGUUAUUAUACGUUAUGCAUUCAUGUUUGCCUCAAAGGGUCUCCCUGUUGUGUUAAGUUUGUAAAUAUUUGUUUCUUGCCAAAACUCUGUUUAAUUGGCCACUGAAUUAAAAAAAAUCGUGUUAGUAUUACUAUGCUUUUUAAAGCCAGUAAAAAGGGCAAUAUAA